AGAUGCGGACGAAGCCUGGGAUGACUCGAAGGAGGACGGGGGGAAAGUGCAGUCGUAAAAAAUGGUAGUGUUACGGCUUCGGGUGUAAUAGUAGGAGCCACGGCAUAGACAGUGUCCGUCGUUUUUCACUGGCAUCUUGUAAUCAAGGAUGCCGACAAAGUGAAAGAUUGUCGUCAUGUGGCCGGAUAGCAGAGUUACCUGAUCCACGGAACGCGCGGUCCAAAGGUGUGUAUGUCCACCGUUCGCCGGCAGGUGUUACACUUGACGUAACAACACCAGUGAAACUUACAGCUGCA